rnacentral:rRNA from 1 species
UACGUAGGGGGCAAGCGUUGUCCGGAAUCAUUGGGCGUAAAGAGCGUGUAGGCGGCUUGGUAAGUCCGCUGUGAAAGUCCAGGGCUCAACCCUGGAAAGCCGGUGGAAACUGUCAAGCUUGAGUCCGGAAGAGGCGAGUGGAAUUCCUGGUGUAGCGGUGAAAUGCGCAGAGUAUCGGGAGGAACACCUGUGGCGAAAGCGGACUCACUGGACCACAACUGACGCUGAGGCGCGAAGCUAGGGAGCAACAGG